GUCUAUACUGCGAACGAUGAAUAUUAUAAAUUGGAAUUAUAUUUCUGUUUUGACAGCUAACGCGUUAAAUAUUCCGCCUGGGGAUUACGAUCGCAAGAUUGAAACUUAAGAAGAUUGACGGGAGCAUUUACGAGUGGUGGAGCAUGUGUUUUAAUUUGACAAUCCGCAAAAAUCUUACCAAAUCAAGAAUACUCUUAUACUUUAUUACUAUUAUAUAAUUUUUUAAAGAGUACAAGUGUUGCAUGGCUGCCGU
rnacentral:rRNA from 1 species